AUUGAACGCUGGCGGCAGGCCUAACACAUGCAAGUCGAACGAGUGGCGGACGGGUGAGUAAUGUCUGGGAAACUGCCCGAUGGAGGGGGAUAACUACUGGAAACGGUAGCUAAUACCGCAUACCAUCGGAUGUGCCCAGAUGGGAUUAGCUAGUAGGUGGGGACACGGCUCACCUAGGCGACGAUCCCUAGCUGGUCUGAGAGGAUGACCAGCCACACUGGAAAUUGGACACGGCCGUGACUCCGGCGGGAGGCAGCAGGGGGGAAUUUUGGACAAUGGGGGAAGCCGUGAUCCAGCCAUACCGCGUGUGCGAUGAAGGCCUUCGGGUUGUAAAGCACUUUUGGCAGGGAAGCGGUACCUGCAGAAUAAGCACCGGCUAACUACGUGCCAGCAGCCGCGGUAAUUC
rnacentral:rRNA from 1 species